GCUGGCACAAGGCUGGCACGAGGCUGCAGUCAGGCGACGCCUGUGAAAACAGGUGCCUCCAUGAGCUGCUGCAGGUCCGAAGCCCUCCAGCCCGACCCGGUCCAGCGGCCACGCGGGAGGCGCUGCAGGCCAGGCGCGACGCUUCGGCCAACAGCUCAGCCCCGCCCUGAGUCGCCCCACCCCGCCCCGGCCUGACCCCGCCGCCACGGCGCCCCUCCACGCCGCGCCUCCGGCCGCAGGGACCCUGAGCACAGCGCCGCCGUCAGCCUCGGUCACGUUUAUGGUCCGUUCACCGUCCCAGCGGAGGCCGGUCGCAGUGCGGUGGCCCUGGGAGGAGACCUGACUGAGACCGGCUCAGGGCCGCUGGGUCGGACUCACAGGCUCCAGCGGGUCGGGGAAGAGUGCGGACCGUCGCCGAGCAGGACCGCGGGCCAGGACAAAGCUCCGAGACGCGGGGCCCACGGCCGCCAUCUGCAGGGCCCCCAAAUGGGCGGAGCCUCAGGAAAGUGCCUCACACCCCAGGUUUCUGGUAUAGGGAACCCACAGGAGAUGCUUGCUCGAUGCCCAAAAACCGCCGAUAACAUCCUGUACCCACUCUGACCCUUUCUCUCCUGGAAAGCCCCCAAAUGUUUACCUCUCUCAGCAACAUCUCCCUCUCAACAAAACCUUCCACGUCCCCUAGCUAAACUCACCUGUAAAACAUGCCCUCUCCCUUCACUCGCGGCCAGCGGUCUUUUAGCUCUUGGCCCGACUGCACACGUCUGCAAUAAAGUUACUGCUGUUUGCUUCAA